rnacentral:lncRNA from 1 species
GUGUGACUUUUUCAGAAGGUGAGUUACGCGUUCCGGGCAGUCAGUGCACUGCUCAGCAGGAGGAGGUCCUGCAGGUGGUGCUGCAAGGGGUCGGCUGGCCGCAGGGGGGCCGGCAGCAGGGGGACUGCACAGACACAGGCUGGCAGCAGGUGGUGGCUCAGCAGGAGGAGGUCCUGCAGGUGGUGCUGCAAGGGGUCGGCUGGCCGCAGGGAGGCCGGCAGCAGGGGGACUGCACAGACACAGGCUGGCAGCAGGGGGGCCGGCAGCAGGGGGACUGCACAGACACAGGCUGGCAGCAGGUGGUGGCCCAGCAGCAGGGCCUGCACACC